CUACGGGGGGCUCCAGUCAAGAAUAAUCUGCAAUGCGCGCAAGCGUGACAGUUUGAACCAAAGUGCGUUUCUAUUGAAAUGCUUUUGUGAAAUGUAAAAAGUUUCACGAAUAAGGACUGGGUAAGACGAGUGCCAGCCGCCGCGGUAAUACUCGCGGUCCAAGUCGCAGCCAUUUUUAUUGGGUCUAAAACAUCCGUAGCUUGCUUAGUAAGUUUCCUGUGAAAUCUGGCUUCUUAAAAGUCAGGCGUGCAGGGAAUACUACUAAGCUAGAGACUGGGAGACGUAAGAAGUAUGUUCAAAGUAGCGGUAAAAUGUUUUAAUCUUGGACAGACUAACAAUAGCGAAGGCAUCUUACGAGAACAGUUCUGACAGUAAGGGAUGAAGGCUAGGGUCGCGAAAGGGAUUAGAUACCCUUGUAGUC
rnacentral:rRNA from 1 species